rnacentral:rRNA from 1 species
CCUACGGGUGGCAGCAGUGAGGAAUAUUGGUCAAUGGGAGAGAUCCUGAACCAGCCAAGCCGCGUGAGGGAAGACGGCCCUAUGGGUUGUAAACCUCUUUUGUCGGAGAACAAAACCUGGGACGUGUCCCGGACUGCGUGUAUCCGACGAAAAAGCAUCGGCUAACUCCGUGCCAGCAGCCGCGGUAAUACGGGGGAUGCGAGCGUUAUCCGGAUUUAUUGGGUUAAAGGGGUGGGUGGGCGGUCCGUUAGGUCAGCGGGAAAAUUGCGGGGCUAAACCCCGCCGAGCCGUUGAAACUGGCAGACUUGAGUUGGCGAGAGGUACGCGGAAUGCGCGGUGUAGCGGUGAAAUGCAUAGAGAUCGCGCAGAACUCCGAUUGCGAAGGCAGCGUACCGGCGCCAGACUGACGCUGAGGCACGAAAGCGUGGGGAUCGAACAGGAUUAGAUACCCUUGUAGUC